rnacentral:misc_RNA from 1 species
GGCAAGUAGGCCAUUUAUUUCUCUUUGAUUUAAUGAUUUCAGGGAUAUUCAAGUUUUGUAAUUUGGUGAUUUGGGUAACUCUUUUGAGUGCUUGAGUUUUUGAUUGGUGUUUUUUUCAGGAGAGAAUGUGAUCAUAUAUUGCUUUAUUUUUGCAACUUUCUGAUCCGGGUUUGUGUCUUUGAAUAUUGUGUUAGUUAUUUUGUGUGAAUUCGUGAGUUGCCUGUGUUGAAGGAAUAUUCAGUUUAUGGGACUGUGGCUCAGAUGAGUUCAGUUCAAUAAUUGAAGUGAGGGAUCUUCAGUUUUUGGUACUGGGAGAGUUGAGUAUUGCUUUUGGUGCAGUGUUUGUUGGUAGUAUUUUAUGGUAGGGUCAUGGUAUGUGUUUUGGAUUUUGCAUUACUGAUUUUGCUGAUUAGAUCUUGGGGAAGCAGGAAGCGUGCAAGCGUUGUUUCGUAUGUAAAUACAAAUCAUUUACAGUUCUAUUAAAGAAGUUAUUGGGACACUGCACCUAUCUGCCUAAACCUUUUUGGCUCACCUGACAGGAAGUUACAUGUUCUUCCCCUGAGAAUUUCUUUGAUGCGACUCAAAAUUCACUUUAUUCUUCAAUUUUAGGCUGCUAGCUGAAAGAAACACACAAACACACUCAUGAACAUAAAGUCAUGGACUUGUUGAAAUUGGAGAUAAUGAGCAAGAACUGUGUUUGAAAAAGCAGUACACCAUAGAAUGUCAAAUUAGAAACAUAGAGGGGGCAUCCUUUUAUUUUCAUUUUAGUUGUAUUAUUGGGGCCAGGCAGAACGCUAUAAAUUAUAAUCAAUUGUUGCACCGUUUUGGAGAAUUAUUGAAAGGUAUUCAAGUGAGAUGAUUACUAUAUGAUUGACCUACAUCAUGCCAAUGUUAAAAUUUAUGGGUUCUGGUUUACGCUUGCAUAUUAGACACUGAAGAGUGUUUCUUGUGUAGUGAUUUGUCUAACCAUAUCUCAAGCUUCUUAUUUCCCUUAAAUUUCUGGAAUGCAAUACAAGCUAUCAUUUUUCUAUUCUCUAUAAGCUUUAUGAAUUAUUCUUUUGCAAAUUUAAAAAGAUUUUAAUAUAGAAAAAAGGAUAUAAGGCUGCUGUGCUUCUAAUUUUGCAGAUGUCCAAUGAAAAACUGUGGGAUACUCCUCUCAACUAUGGUUUACGCGCUUGUGUCAGCCCUACUGCUAAAUAUAAAGCUGCCCAAGGAUGGGACCGCUAUAUAACUGUGAAAAGCAAUGGAGGACUAAAUCAAAUGCGCACUGGUGUAAGUUAACAAUGCAUGUUUACUGGCUUUUGCCUUUUUUGACUUGAUGGUCUAUGCUAUCUCUAUGUUGUGAUCUAUUUUUUCAGAUAAGGGCCACGUCAACAUAGUGUUAAUCCCUGCCUAUUUAGGGAUGGCUGUAUAGAGCAUUUUGCUCCACUCUGCUCACUUUCACAUUACAUUUAUAGAAAGAUGUUGUUAAAUCUUUUAUCACUAAGUCACCUAACUCUACCUGUUGUCUUUCUUACUCAUGAAAUUUGGAUAUCUCUAACUAUUGUACAAGUGCAUUUACUGAUCUAGUUUGGACGUGCCAAGAAAAUCUCAUUCAGCCCCCUCAACUUAUUUUCAAUGAUUGCUACUUACACCUUUUUGUCAAGGCACUUUUUCCUUAUAUGUUCAAUGUCUUUUAUUUUACAUUUGUUUUUGAGUUCUCAUCCAUUCCAUGCUAAUUUUAUUGACAUGCUUUUGUUCUCAUAAAUAAGGCCUUAACAUCAAUUUGAUCCAUAUUGUAUUUUCUUUGUUCUCUUUAGCUUCUGUUUAUUACAAUAAAUUCAGCCAUUAUUUUAAAUGAUUAAAAAAAUCUGCAUUGGUGGCUUUCAUGAACUUUUGAAAUAGCUCUUAUGCAGUUACUUGGCUCUCAUGUUCUUAUUGCAGUUAUCUUAAUGAUAAGUACCUUAAGAAGAGAAUUUUUAUGAAUAGCUAACUUGAUAAAAGUGUUGUACAUGAUGCAUGAAGUGCACAAACUGUUCCAUGCAUCCAGGACGUCUUUGAUCAGUAUAAAGAUGAACAUAUAACUGAAUCUGGAAGGAAGUGCUAUGUAUGUCUGAUUUCGGACAUGGUGGCUGUUGCACACAUCAUGAAUGCAACAUUAGUGAUUCCCCAAUUAGAUAAACGUUCAUUUUGGCAAGACACAAGUACAUUUUCAGAUAUAUUUGAUGAGCUUCAUUUCAUCACAAGCUUACAAAAUGAUGUGAGAAUUAUCAAGGAGCUACCCAGAGAAUUGGAAUCUCUUCCUCGGGCCAGGAAACACUUCACCUCCUGGUCUGGCAUGGGUUACUAUGAAGAUAUGAAACGGUUAUGGGAGGAAUUUCAGGUGAUUCAUGUUGCAAAGUCAGAUUCUCGUCUUGCAAACAAUGAUUUGCCUCUUGAUAUCCAGAGGUUAAGAUGCCGUACGCUGUAUCAUGCUCUUCGCUUCUCUCCCCUAAUUGAAAGCCUAGGGAAGGUCUGGAAUUCGUGUCCUUUUGUUGACAUUCCAAGCAGCAAUUGUCCAAAAGUAAAACUGGUUUUGGCCUCAAGUUUGUAAUUGACUAAUAGAGUAUCUAAUUAAACUUUGGUUGAAAUCAGUGAAAAAUUCAAAAUUUAUUUGUUUAGAACCUCAUAAUACAUGUAUUAUUAUGUAAAACAACGUGCAUGAUCCCAGAUUUACACUCAUUUUCAGUAUCAAUGCAUUGAGGUCUCCUAUGGGGAUUCCUGUUAAAUUAGGUUCUGAGAAUGCAUGACGAUGACACCACAGAAGCUGGUGGAGCGGCUGAGAUCACGUGGGGGAGGAUACAUUGCUCUUCAUCUAAGAUAUGAGAAGGACAUGCUUUCUUUUACUGGCUGCACUUAUGGUCUGACUCAGGCAGAAUCUGAAGAGCUGCGGCUAAUGAGGGAGAAUACCAACCAUUGGAAGGUUAAAAAGAUAAAUUCAACAGAGCAGAGGGAGGAAGGAUUUUGUCCUCUAACUCCUAAAGAGGCAGCGAUAUUUCUUCAAGCUCUUGGUUAUUCUCCAUCAACAGUGAUUUACAUUGCAGCUGGCGAAAUUUAUGGUGGUAAAUCUCACCUUGCAGAGCUGACAUCUCGGUUCCCAAAUAUUGUUUUCAAGGAAACAUUGGCUACACCAGAGGAGUUAAAAGCAUUUUCUAAGCAUGCUUCUCAGACAGCAGCAAUUGAUUACAUUAUUUCUACAGAGAGUGAUGUCUUUAUUCCAUCAUAUUCAGGUAAUAUGGCCAGAGCUGUUGAGGGCCACCGGAGAUUCUUAGGGCAUCGCAAGACUAUCACCCCGGACAGGUAUAUAGAUCCAAUCAAGAUUUUAUAAGAUUUACUGAUUAGCAUAAGAACUGAAGACAAGACCACCAAUUAUAGACCACUUUAGUGGGAGAUGGCCACCUUGGGCCUUGGCAACUAUCUGCAUGAAAUCCAAUUAUGGAAUUGUACUAACUACCAAGCAUCAUUGGCUUUCUGCAUUCAGCCUAAAGAUCUGCAGCAUUUUUUUUUUUAAUUUAUGGAAGCCCAAGGCCCUUGGUUGAUAAUUUGUGAUAUUGGUAAUAAUUGAGUUUUGCUACCUUGGAAGUUACUUUGAUGGAUGGAUUUCUUGGGCUCUGGUUUUUUCAUUGAAAUCAUUUUAUGGCAAACAGUUCUGCUAUUCAAUCUUUUAAUGUUGGUGAUUAGAUCCCUAUAAUGGCUGCCUGUUUUAUUGGGAACUAUUGCCUUACAAUGCAAGGUUAUGAGAUUAGUAUAUUCAAUUUUCAGUGUUAUAGUUUCAUCACUUAUAGUGCAGUAUUUUGGGAAGUACAUGAUUUGGUUGUCUUCUUUGAAGCCAUUCCUACUGCAUAAAUGGUGACUUUGGGAAAGUGGAGGGAGGGAUUGAUUAGUUUUUCUUUCCCCUUGCCUCUUUUUUUCUUCCAUAAUUUUAUUAUUAUUAUUGAUGUAGAAAAGAACUUGUCAAGCUAUUUGAUAAGCUACAAAGUGGACAGCUCAAGGGAGGGUCUUCAUUUACACAUAUUGUCCAGGAGAUGCACAAGAACAGGCAAGGAGCUCCGAGGAAAAGAAGGGGUCCAUUGCCAGGAGUAAAAGGCCGAGCGCGUUUCAGGACUGAAGAAUCUUUUUAUGAAAAUCCAUACCCUGAGUGUAUCUGCAGAUCAAAAAGAGCAAAUUUGAAAUGAUCAUUACACUGGCUUGCAAUUUGAAGAAUUAUCUGAUGUGGGGUCCCUUUUGUGUACUAUGAUGACCAACAUUAACACGAGCUUGCAGGUUACAUAAGCCAAAACUGAGUGAGCCAAAACUGAGUGAGCCAAAGCAGCAGCAAACCAGUUAGUAGAUUAGUUAGGUGGUACUCAAGUGGCCAGGAGAGAAAGGAAUAGGAGGAAAAUAAUGUAAUAUUAGUCAAUAUUAAAUUCAUCUGGAUUGCUAGAGUAUUAUUUCUCAUGAAAUGAUGAGAACAUUUGAGGAUUCAGGGAGUUCAAAUGGGAUUGUGGUUAGGACUUUAGGAGGUCAAACAGUUGCCUUUUGAAAAAGUAGUAUUUUAUAUGUUAAAGAAAAGUAAUUUAGAAAAAAUUAUUUAUUUGUUUUGGAUUAUUAAUAUUGUUUCAGAUUUUUUCAUUUAACAUUUUGAAUUCUAAGUUGAUAUAUUGAAGAAGCCGGCGAAUUUGCG